CGCCUAUGUAUUUGUUUUGGGUGAGCAAUAAUCCAGUGGUGGAAUGAUGGACUUCGAUGCCCAGGAAGUAGCCAAGAGUGCCCAUGUCUUUAAGCACAAUUGUUCUAUAGAGAAUUUAUAACAUGUUGCACAAAUUUAGAGUCAUUAACAGUGAUUAUUAUGUUGUCAACAUAGACGAGACAGAAACAAUGCACCAUUGCAGACUUCCAAUGAAAUAAUGAGGUAUCUGCACUGGAUGUCUGAAACUAAACUUGAAGAAGUGCCUCCUUUAGUUUCUGAUACCACUGGCGAUGUGCUUGUAUAACCCGUAUAAAGAUCUAUUUAACUUGUAAGCAUGAUUUGGCUUGUCAGCAUCCACAAAGCUAGGUGGUUGAGCCAUAUAAAUAACAUCCUCUAAGUCUCCAUAUAAGAAAGCAUUGGACACAUCUAAUUUUUGUGAGCCAAUUGUGUGGGCAAGAGAAAGAAUUACCUGUAGGGUACUGGUUUGAGCCUAGGGAAGAAAGUCUCUUGAAAAUCAAUCCCAGGCCUUUGAUGAUAGCCUUUGGUGACUAGACGUGCUUUGAAUCAAUCAAUUGAACCAUCUGGCUUCUGCUUUAUGUGAUAUACCCACUUGCAUCCAAUUAUAUUUUGAGCUUUAGAGCGAGGGACUAAUGUCCAAGUUCUAGUUUGAAGAAAAGUGUUGUUAUCUCAGCAUCAAUUGCAUCUUUCCAUUGUAGAUCGAUGAUUGCCUUUGUAUAGCAUGAAGGGACUGAGGGAAGGGUGGGACUAGCAACAUUAACUUUUGGUUUUAGAUGCCUUGUUUUCCCUCGGGUAAGCAUGGCAUGAGAGUUUGUUAAUGGUUGGUGUUUAUUGUUUUUGAGUUGAUGAGCUGACAGUAAGGUUAAUUGGUUUGCGUGAUCUUGUGAAAUGGAUGAGGUUUGAUGCAUUUGGGUCAUUGGAUAGGAGGAAAAGUCCACAAGUAAAUUGAGACCGGUUGAAGAUGGAGGAUGGGUUGAGGUAAGACUUCGAGUGAGUAUGUUUUUAGAUGAGGUGGGAGUUAUUGGUUUGGAUAAAGGGACACUAAGGCGAAG
rnacentral:misc_RNA from 1 species